rnacentral:rRNA from 1 species
AUGCAGCACAUCUUCUCCUUCGGGCUGACAACUGGGAAGCAUGCCAUGGGCUCGGGGGAGCCUCUUGGUUCCCCCUUGCCAGACUUCCCUGGGACCCCGGACGUCGAGGUCCUUGAUGGCCCUAACAAGCCCGCUGCGAAGCCCUUCGACAAGCCAUUUGACCCCGUCAAUGAUAGGAAGAGGAAGAGAGGAGGCCUGAUGGAGGAGGAGAUCAAUGUCUUUUGCAGCAUGACUGAGGCGGUGAAGGAGGUGGCAACAGCCAUCAGGGAGUGCAAGCCCCUCGACGUCCACCCUGACCUGUAUGGCGCUGUCAUGACCCAGGGUGGCUUCAGUGACGAGGCUUUGAUGGCAGCUCUCAGCCACCUGCUUGAUAACAAGGCCCGGAGUGUUGGGUUCGUUGCCAUGGCCGACGCUCAUAGGAUGUUGUGGCUCAGGAGCUGGCUGGGCAAGCACUACUACUAG